AACCUUCUGUAUCCGUGCUGAGAUUUCGUCACAUAUCAGACCACAAGGGCUGAUGAGACUUCCAAGAUAAGUGAGGCG
rnacentral:pre_miRNA from 1 species